rnacentral:lncRNA from 1 species
CAUAAACUUGACAUUUAUUGUGCAACUUUAUCUCCAACAGAACAAGUGGCAUUCUAGAGGUAUAUGAAGUAAUAAAAUCAAUACUCCAGUUAGAACACCUGAAAUAACUGGCUCUAGUAACAAAUGUUGCUUAUAAUUAAAAAUAUUGAAUGUUUAAAAAACUCUUAUAACAUUUUAAGUUCCUAAAAGAAAUGUGCCUAACACUUAAAAAACAACUUACUCUUCUAUAUAAAUUGUUCACAAAAAAUCUUGCUAUCCUGUAUUACACUAUGCAUUUAUAGCUUUAUUAACAUAUCUCUAGUGGGUAUUAACUCUACACAGUACAAUCAAAUAGAAAUUAUUAAUAAAGAAUCAACAAGACUUCAACAAUAAAAAUAUCAGGAUCAAUGGAUUUGUCACAGUUUCUGCACAUGUGUUCUUCAUAGAAAAUAGAGUAAAGGCAAGUUGGCCCCAGUGUCAGGCUGCUACACGAGUUCCAGGGAGGAGACACACACAGAGGCAAUGCCUACAUGGGGCAGGGUCGGACUGGAGCAGCGACCUUCAGGGUUUCAGGACCCCUCUCACGGCCUGGCAUGCCCUGUUCCCUAGAAACAAAGCCAGGCACUGAUGGCCGAGGCAACCUCUUGAAACUUCAAACACAGCCAGAGGUGUUAAAGCCACAACUAAAGGAAAGGAUCAACAGAUUACUGUAUUUUCCUACAAAACCUUCACGACAAUUCUCACAGUGACAUCAUGGUUAGAACCCUCUCUUCCAAACCAGACUCAUCAAAUCUAAGGCUACGAAUACAACUGAUGUGAAAAGUGAAUGAAUGCUGGCUAAUGAUGUCCAGUGCCACGUCUAACAUCUAUCUGUUCCCAAAGAACAUCACUUCACUGAGUUCAAAGUUUUGCUUUUAUAUCCCUGCAUUUUUGUACUGGGAACCCUAUGAUGGAAAUGUGAACAAAUUAGUCAUUUUAUUCACUACUUCGAUUAAACAACAAAUCUAUCCCCAAAGUGUUGAUGGGUUUUGAGAACGGGAGAAAACUG